CCAGAGGGUUGGGCGAUCGCGGGCGGCCGAAAGGUUCGCGCGAGGAAAGUCCGGGCUCCACGAAACAACGGUGCCGGAUAACGUCCGGCGAGGGUGACCUCAGGGAAAGUGCCACAGAAAGCAGGUCGCAAGGGCUUCGGUCCCGCGACAGUGAAAGGGUGCGGUAAGAGCGCACCGCAUCGCCGGUAACGGUGAUGGCAGGGCAAACCCCACCGGGAGCAAGACCGAAUAGGGGCGGCGUGGCCUUCGUCAAGAAGGUGCAGGCGGGAUUUCGGCCCAGUCGCCCGGGUUGGUUGCUUGACUGUGCCCGCAAGGGCAUGGCUAGAGGAAUGAUCGCCCAUUCUCCCGCAAGGGGGAGGGACAGAACCCGGCUUACAGACCCUCUGGCAAU
rnacentral:RNase_P_RNA from 1 species